GGCUUUAACAUCCACAGUGAACACAAGCGUGUUGUUUUCUUCUAUCUUCUUCACGGCCGACUCAGUGGUCAGCGGAAACUUGAUGAUAGCAUAGUGGCCAAGCUUGUUUCUCCUGGGGGUGCUCUUCCGAGGAUAUCUGGGCUGCCUCCGGAGUCGCAGUGUCUUGGGCCGCCUGAAGAUAUUAUUUCCCCCUGAUGCUUUCCUGAAAGCUCCUGCAAUCAACUACAGGUCAGAAUGUUCGUCUCCAAGACAGGACUCCCCCUGAGACUCACAGAAAAGACUAUGACAGGUGAAUAAGCAAAUGGAGUUGCAUAGAAAUCUCCUUUGCAAAAGAAUUCCAAAUAAUUGAUGUAGACACUCAGCCGUCAAGAAGGUGGAGCCAACUCCUGACAGAGUGAGGCUCUGCAUAGUGACUUGCUCCAAAAGAACACAUGCAGUACGGACAAGGAGGAGAAAUAACCUCACAGUGGAGAAACCUGACAAACAUUAGCUCUGCCAAAUGAUCCAAGUGAACAUCAA
rnacentral:lncRNA from 10 species